AGCGAACGCUGGCGGCAGGCUUAACACAUGCAAGUCGAGCGCCGUAGCAAUACGGAGCGGCAGACGGGUGAGUAACGCGUGGGAACGUGCCUUUUGGUUCGGAACAACACAGGGAAACUUGUGCUAAUACCGGAUAAGCCCUUACGGGGAAAGAUUUAUCGCCAAAAAGAUCGGCCCGCGUCUGAUUAGCUAGUUGGUGAGGUAACGGCUCACCAAGGCGACGAUCAGUAGCUGGCUGAGAGGAUGAUCAGCCACACUGGACUGAGACACGGCCCAGACUCCUACGGGAGGCAGCAGGUGGGGAAUAUUGGACAAUGGGCGCAAGCCUGAUCCAGCCA
rnacentral:rRNA from 1 species